rnacentral:rRNA from 1 species
UACCGAUUGAAUGGCUCGGUGAGGCCUUCGGACUGGCUCAGGAGGGUUGGCAACGACCCCCCAGAGCCGGAAAGUUGGUCAAACCCGGUCAUUUAGAGGAAGUAAAAGUCGUAACAAGGUUUCCGUAGGUGAACCUGCGGAAGGAUCAUUA